CCGUUUACGUGUGGGGCCGGUGUUUCAGCCAGCGAACCAGCUUAAUGAUCAGGUGCACGUCGCACACAUGUCCCGCUGUGAAAACCUAGAUCUUGAUUGGCAAAAAUAUCUGAGGCGUCUCCUCUCGUCGCCUCCCGCGGCCUCCACUCCGCCUUCUCACUCCGAGCCGCCGCCCUCUUGUCUCCUCUCUCCCGCGGCCUCGACUCCCCACUCCUGUCGGCGGGCAGAGGCGGGCGAGCUCGAAGAGUAGCUCGCGCGGGGCGGGGCGUCAGUGGGGCGAGCGCGCGCGGCGAACGGCGGGGCGAGCGGUCAUGGCUGGGGGGAAGAAGAUGCGACGGCCAUGGCGGCUGAUGGCAGGAGCGCGUCUGGGAGAGGCUGGCGGCGUGGAGGGUGAGCGGCGAUCGGACGGAGCAGGAUGCGAUGGCCACGGUGGUGGGCGGAAGGAGGCGCUGAAGGAGUGGGUCCGGAGGAUGGCGGCGGCGCAUCAGCGGAGUCACUCACGCCAGCUCGUCGGCUCCCGCCGGCCUCCUCAAGCCUCGUCAAGCCAUAGGCAAGCACCAAGGCCGUUGACCCAAGAGUGCGUGCUCACAACGGCCUGGUCGCCUGGAUCCACCCCGCCGCUUGAUGCCCAUGGAUGGGACGGCCGCGGUGGCGAGCGGAAGGGGGCGCUGAAGUAGCGGGUCUAGAGGAGGGCGGCGGCGCAUCAGUGGAGUCACUCGCGCCAGUAGGUCGACUCUCGCCAGCCUCUACAAGCGGCGGAGACGGUUCGGCCUGGCCAUGGCGAUGACAGUUCUCCGGAUCUGUGUUGUAGUUGCUGCUGCCGCUGUUGCUGCGGCUGGGCGAGCUGUUACAUAGUCACACUGAGGCUGACACGCAACAAUGCUUGCAUUUCUGGGGCAUCAUCUCAUGCAGACGUCGGCACCCGACAUCCGUUCGGUAUGAGCGAUUACCUGACGGAUUCAUCCCUGGAGUGAUACAUCAAAAGAUUAAUCGGAUGGUGCCCAGAUAACACGAAGGAGGUUCCAGGAUUUAGUAGGCUUGCUUCUUGUCUCAUCCUGUACUAGGCUCUGGUUAUGUGCUCUUCUCCUGUGUUGAGGUGUGUCGCUUGCUUCUCCUUACAAGGAAUGCAUCUUCCGUUCAGGGCCUGUUUUCUCUAUGGUGAUUGACUGAUUGUUCUUGCUUUGUAUCUGAUACACUCUGCUGCUAUAUUUCAUGAGCAUAUCCUUUGCUAAAUGACAUGUAGCAGUACCUUUACAGUUCCAUUUCUGCCGAGACAACAGCUACAGAUUGCGUCCCAAAUUCGGCAAAUGGGUCAUAGAAGCUUCAAGUGUUUCUUGUUGUUUCUGCGUUUGCAACCAAAUUUUUUUUCCUCUCUAAACAUUAUCUAAACAGAUUUAUGAAACUCAUUUUGCUACCUCAAGCUUGUUUAAAUACACUUCCCAAAACAUCAAUGCUUCUUAUGUUCUAAUCAUUCUCCUAUGUAUAUGCACUUGAAUAUGAUGAUUAGACUUUUCGUAUGGAGUGCCUCUUUGGCUUCUGAUUGUACUGGCUACAUAGUUAACACGUUUUCUUCUUUUUUUCACUGCAAUUGGAAACCUUACACUGUAGUCGGUACCAAACUGUUGCAUCAUGACUUUGUUUGAAUUCGAAAAAAUAUGAGUGAAUUCUUGAAUUUAUGGUGUGAGCAGAAGGUUUGAUCGGAAUGUGUCAUUGCACAAAAGGCAAAACUUCCGCUAUGUGUCAUUGCAGAAUGGUUCUCUUCCGUAAGGUAUACACUGAAGACUU